GACGGGGGGGGCAAGUGUUCUUCGGAAUGACUGGGCGUAGAGGGCACGUAGGCGGUGAAUCGGGUUGAAAGUGAAAGUCGCCAAAAAGUGGCGGAAUGCUCUCGAAACCAAUUCACUUGAGUGAGACAGAGGAGAGUGGAAUUUCGUGUGUAGGGGUGAAAUCCGUAAAUAUACGAAGGAACGCCAAAAGCGAAGGCAGCUCUCUGGGUCCCUACCGACGCUGGGGUGCGAAAGCAUGGGGAGCGAACAGG
rnacentral:rRNA from 1 species